AAAGUCGUAACAAGGUUUCCGUAGGUGAACCUGCGGAAGGAUCAUUACCGAGUGGACCGUCGCGAGACGGGACUGCCCGACCUAUUGUCAUGUGCACGCGUGUGGCGUGGGGAGACUGCGUGGCGUGUGACGGUUACCCGGAAGGGAUUGACUGGAACGGCCCGGGUGUCCGCUGCCGGCGCGAACCACAACUUCGGCGGAAGAGGUAGGCUUUGACCUGCCCGCCGCCGGCCGUAGUCGUUUUCACUCUCACGAGAAUCUGAAGUCUGAAGAACGCAAAGAAACGAAAUGAAAUAGCAAAACUUUCAACAACGGAUCUCUUGGCUCUG
rnacentral:misc_RNA from 1 species